GAUGAACGCUAGCGGCAGGCUUAAUACAUGCAAGUCGAGGGGCAGCAGCUUUGUAGCAAUACAGGGGCUGGCGACCGGCAAACGGGUGCGGAACACGUACGCAACCUUCCUUUAACUGGAAGAUAGCCCACUGAAAGGUGGAUUAAUACUCCAUAACAUAUUGAAGAGGCAUCUCUUUGAUAUUAAAGCUCCGGCGGUUAAAGAUGGGCGUGCGUCUGAUUAGGUAGUUGGCGGGGUAACGGCCCACCAAGCCUUCGAUCAGUAGCUGAUGUGAGAGCAUGAUCAGCCACACGGGCACGGAGACACGGGCCCGACUCCUACGGGGGGCAGCAGUAAGGAAUAUUGGUCAAUGGACGCAAGUCUGAACCAGCCAUGCCGCGUGGAGGAUGAAGGCCCUCUGGGUUGUAAACUUCUUUUCUUUGGGACGAAACCCCUGUUUCUACGGGGACUGACGGUACCAGAGGAAUAAGCACCGGCUAACUCCGUGCCAGCAGCCGCCGUAAAAC
rnacentral:rRNA from 1 species